rnacentral:rRNA from 1 species
AUACGAAAGGUGCAAGCGUUGUUCGGAUUUACUGGGCGUAAAGAGAGUGUAGGUGGUUUAUUAAGUCGGAUGUGAAAUCCCGGGGCUCAACCUCGGAACUGCGUUCGAUACUGAUAGGCUAGAGUUUGGGAGGGGUAAGCGGAAUUCCGUGUGUAGCAGUGAAAUGCGUAGAUAUACGGAGGAACACCUGAGGCGAAGGCGGCUUACUGGACCAAUACUGACACUGAGACUCGAAAGCGUGGGUAGCAAACAGGAUUAGAAACCCCUGUAGUCC